GCCUACGGGGCGCAGCAGUAGGGAAUAUUGCUCAAUGGGCGCAAGCCUGACCCAGCAACGCCGCGUGAAGGAAGAAGGCUUUCGGGUUGUAAACUUCUUUUCUCAGGGACGAAGCAAGUGACGGUACCUGAGGAAUAAGCCACGGCUAACUACGUGCCAGCAGCCGCGGUAAUACGUAGGUGGCAAGCGUUAUCCGGAUUUACUGGGUGUAAAGGGCGUGUAGGCGGGGACGCAAGUCAGAUGUGAAAACCACGGGCUCAACCUGUUGCCUGCAUUUGAAACUGUGUUUCUUGAGUACUGGAGAG
rnacentral:rRNA from 1 species